UACGGAGGGUGCAAGCGUUAUCCGGAUUCACUGGGUCUAAAGGGUGCGUAGGCGGGUAAGUAAGUCCGUGGUGAAAUCUCUGAGCUUAACUCAGAAACUGCCGUGGAUACUAUUUGCCUUGAAUAUUGUGGAGGUGAGCGGAAUAUGUCAUGUAGCGGUGAAAUGCUUAGAUAUGACAUAGAACACCAAUUGCGAAGGCAGCUCACUACACAAUCAUUGACGCUGAGGCACGAAAGCGUGGGGAUCAAACAGG
rnacentral:rRNA from 1 species